CCUACGGGAGGCAGCAGUAGGGAAUAUUGCUCAAUGGGGGAAACCCUGAAGCAGCAACGCCGCGUGGAGGAUGAAGGUUUUCGGAUUGUAAACUCCUUUUGUUAGAGAAGAUAAUGACUGUAUCUAACGAAUAAGCACUGGCUAACUCCGUGCCAGCAGCCGCGGUAAUACGGAGGAUGCAAGCGUUACUCGGAAUCACUGGGCGUAAAGAGCGCGUAGGCGGGAUAGCAAGUCAGAUGUGAAAUCCUAUGGCUUAACCAUAGAACUGCAUUUGAAACUGUUAUUCUAGAGUGUGGGAGAGGUAGGUGGAAUUCUUGGUGUAGGGGUAAAAUCCGUAGAGAUCAAGAGGAAUACUCAUUGCGAAGGCGACCUGCUAGAACAUAACUGACGCUGAUGCGCGAAAGCGUGGGGAGCAAACAGGAUUAGAUACCCUUGUAGUC
rnacentral:rRNA from 1 species